GCCGUGAUUGCAUAGUGGUUAGUACAUUGCGUUGUGGCCGCAAUAACCUAGGUUUGAAUUCUGGCCACGGCA